AGCGAACGCUGGCGGCAGGCCUAACACAUGCAAGUCGAACGAAGUCUUCGGACUUAGUGGCGGACGGGUGAGUAACACGUGGGAACGUGCCUUUAGGUUCGGAAUAACUCAGGGAAACUUGUGCUAAUACCGAAUGUGCCCUUCGGGGGAAAGAUUUAUCGCCUUUAGAGCGGCCCGCGUCUGAUUAGCUAGUUGGUGAGGUAAAGGCUCACCAAGGCGACGAUCAGUAGCUGGUCUGAGAGGAUGAUCAGCCACAUUGGGACGGAGACACGGCCCAAAAUCCUACGGGAGGCAGCAGUGGGGAAUCUUGCGCAAUGGGCGAAAGCCUGACGCAGCCAUGCCGCGUGAAUGAUGAAGGUCUUAGGAUUGUAAAAUUCUUUCACCGGGGACGAUAAUGACGGUACCCGGAGAAGAAGCCCCGGCUAACUUCGUGCCAGCCGCCGCAGUAAAAC
rnacentral:rRNA from 1 species